UACCAAACACUUUUUUAUAGCGGUGUGAGAAAAAGCUGCUGUUGUGGUUUGGAACCACAACCCCAAACAUGCACUAAAUUAAACUGAAACUAAGCAAAGAUUAUGCUUGCUGCUAUUCUUGAUCUGGGCUUUGAGUUUCAUCACCUCUAAUCUUCAGUGUUUGCAGCAAGAUUUGUAAGUAUUGGUGGAUUUGUGUUUACUAGAGAUGAUUAAGCGUGGUGGUAGAUUUUCCAAGACAUUGUAUGGUUCUGCAACUAUUCGCGGCACAGUCAUUGUUGCGUUUGUAGUUGUAGUGUUUCUAGUGUUGACGCUUUUAUUUCGUGAAGAUGAUGGGAAGGGUAGUUCUUUGACUACAGUGGAGAAAUGGAACAAAUUUGAUAAUGUUGUUAGAUUUCAACCUACAAUGGAGACGAUAAAUGGGACAGUUUUAAUUUGGCAAAUACCUGAUGAGCCUAAAGCAGUUUUGUUCUUGGCUCAUGGGUGUAAUGGUAAAGCGGAAAAUUUUUGGGAUAGGACAUCGAGUUGUCUUGGUUGUGUUGGUUUGCCUGAGGAAAGGCUGAUUGUACUUCAUGCUCUUUUUAGGAAGUUUGCUGUUUUGACGGUGUCAAGUUUCGGAAGGUGCUGGUCAUUUGGGAGCGAAAAGUUGGUUGUUGCAGGAACUGUUAAGUGGUGGAUUGAGGAGCAAAAACUUGAGAAGCUUCCUCUUGUAGCUUUGGGGGCCUCUUCGGGUGGGUACUUUGUUUCUGCACUAGCUACUGAUUUGAGGUUUAGUAGUAUAACACUAAUGAUUGCUGAAGGGUUGUUCAGUCGGAUGGAUAUUCCGAAAGACUACCCACCUACCCUUUUUGUUCACAUGCCUAAAGAUGAAGACAGGAAGUUGAGAGUUGAUGAAAAUUUGAAAGUCCUCAAGAAGAUGGGUGUUGAUGCUGCAGAGAUCAAGUGCAUGGAGUUCCCAUUAUCUCCUGCUUUUCUGGCUGACAGGAUUCCAAACCUUGAUCGUAAAAUUUCCGUAGAGUUGUUCAAACUCUUCCAGGAGAAGGGUUUUAUUGACAAGAAUGGCUUUAUGAAAAAUGAUGGGCGUGCAACACGUUGGAAAGCAGCUGCUAAUGAAAGAAAGAUCCUAUCGCGAAAUAAAGAUAUAUUUAAUCACAUUCAGGAGGAACUGAAUCUAGCCUUUGCAUAUCAUGAAAUGACCAGUUUGCAGUCUGAGCAGAUUUUUUCCUGGUUUGAAUCUCAUUUGAAGUGAUCAGAGCUCCAUGAUGUCACAUUGAUUUUUCCUGAAUGUAAAAGCAUAACACAGUGUAUCUGGAUCACAGAUGAAUGUGAAUAAUCAUUUAGCUUAGCAUAUUGCCACCAUAACAAAAGGAUUACCAUAUCUUUUUUUUAUGUGUCUUUCGGAAUGCAUAGGUCGAGUCUUGGUAUGAGUGGACUAACUACUAAGGUUGAAGUUUCCAGGCUGAUUUAAAGAGGAACAGAGGAUGUUCAUGCAUAUAGUCCCUGUGAUGAACUACGGAAGAGCAUUAUGGAAUUACUGUGAGGUGGACAUGACAGCAGCAUGCAGGCAAUAAUAUGGAGGAAUUUAUUGACAGUGUGGGGAUGUUUAUUAGAUUGCAGUGGGCGGCAAUUGAAACUUUUCUCUUCUGCCUGGUCUAAGUGAUUGAAUUUGAUAUAGGGUGGACUUUACUGAGUUUUUAUUGUUUAGCAAAAAAGAGGGGGUGGUCUGUGUUCAGUUUAGGUAUUGUGGCUGUGGAUCAGAACCGAGUGCAACUUCCUAUGCUUCUAUGGCUAUUGUCAAACAGUGCAGCUAGUGGCUGAAAAUCUGAUCACUUGUCAAGUUUUGAAUUAUCAUUAUUUUACAGCUCAUGGGAGUUCAAAGUUCAAAUCAGUCCUUGCUACUGAAAGGAGUACUUUGCUGACUCUAUAAGAAGUCAUGAAAUCAAGCUCUAUUGAACUAUGUGACUCUAUUCAGCAUCCAUGUGUGCGAGGAUCCUUGGUAGAGAUUUUUAUGGAUUUUUUCUUAUCAGACAUUUAAGUAUUAUUAUCUAAACGUCCGGAGAUAUCUUGCAUGUCUUUCGCGUAGAUGAUAAUCUUUUUUGGAUGAAUGAAAUACCUUGCAGCGGCUAUUUUAUCUCGAGAUACAACUCAU